GACGAACGCUGGCGGCGUGCUUAACACAUGCAAGUCGUACGGUAAGGCCCUUUCGGAGGUACACGAGUGGCGAACGGGUGAGUAACACGUGAGUAACCUGCCCACAACUUUGGGAUAACGCUAGGAAACUGGUGCUAAUACUGGAUAUGUGCUCCUGCUGCAUGGUGGGGGUUGGAAAGCUCCGGCGGUUGUGGAUGGACUCGCGGCCUAUCAGCUUGUUGGUGGGGUAGUGGCCUACCAAGGCGGCGACGGGUAGCCGGCCUGAGAGGGUGACCGGCCACAUUGGGACUGAGAUACGGCCCAGACUCCUACGGGAGGCAGCAGUGGGGAAUAUUGCACAAUGGGCGCAAGCCUGAUGCAGCAACGCCGCGUGCGGGAUGACGGCCUUCGGGUUGUAAACCGCUUUCAGCAGGGACGAAGCUUUUUGUGACGGUACCUGCAGAAGAAGCACCGGCUAACUACGUG
rnacentral:rRNA from 1 species